GACGAACGCUGGCGGCGUGCCUAAUACAUGCAAGUAGAACGCUGAAGAGAGGAGCUUACUCUUCUUGGAUGAGUUGCGAACGGGUGAGUAACGCGUAGGUAACCUGCCUUGUAGCGGGGGAUAACUAUUGGAAACGAUAGCUAAUACCGCAUAACAAUGGAUGACACAUGUCAAUUAUUUGAAAGGGGCAAUUGCUCCACUACAAGAUGGACCUGCGUUGUAUUAGCUAGUAGGUGAGGUAAUGGCUCACCUAGGCGACGAUACAUAGCCGACCUGAGAGGGUGAUCGGCCACACUGGGACUGAGACACGGCCCAGACUCCUACGGGAGGCAGCAGUAGGGAAUCUUCGGCAAUGGGGGCAACCCUGACCGAGCAACGCCGCGUGAGUGAAGAAGGUUUUCGGAUCGUAAAGCUCUGUUGUAAGUCAAGAACGGGUGUGAGAGUGGAAAGUUCACACUGUGACGGUAGCUUACCAGAAAGGGACGGCUAACUACGUG
rnacentral:rRNA from 1 species